rnacentral:rRNA from 1 species
AAAGAGAAGCGAGACGGAGACGUUAAGCGAACCCAAAAAAGUAAGUCUCAGUUCGGAUUGAAGGCUGAAAUUCGCCUUCAUGAAGCCGGAAUUGCUAGUAAUGGCAGGUCAGCAUACUGCCGUGAAUACGUUCCCGGGCCUUGUACACACCGCCCGUCACACCAUGAGAGUUGGGAAUACCCGAAGCCUGUGAGCUAACUUAAAGAGGCAGCAGUCGAAGGUAGAGCCAAUGAUUGGGGUGAAGUCGUAACAAGGUAAC